UGUCGGUGCCACUAGGGCAUGGUAGGAGCACAUCAUUUUCCACUGGGGUCGCACCAAGAGGCCCAGACUCAAUUUGUGUGCUUUUGUCCCCACAGAGGGUAGGGGUUGAUGGCCUAUCUCAUUGCAGCGUAUUAGCCAAGGAGUCAGCAGACGUGGCUGAAGAGCUGAUCCAACUGAAAGUGGUACAUGGCCUGAUGGUUGCUGUGGGGAACCUGGACCAUGCAGCCAGCCAGAGACACGCCAGCAUCUCCCUGGAGUAUUUUGUUCACACGUUUCCCUCUGUGGAAGAGAGUGUAAAGGCGGCACUAGGACCCACGCUGUUCCAGCGCUUUAUGGACAGUCCAGAGACCUGGUACACAAAAAUGGAUCCAGUCCAGGCUGAAGAACUGGCCUCCAACGUAGUAGACAACCCCAGAGACAUGUCAAGGAUGCAGUCCACAGAAGAGACAAACCCUGGAGCAAGCUGAACAAACAGGAAACUGAGGACAGCAACACAUGCCUCCCAUCUGUCCUCCCCCACCCUGCCCCUCUGCCUGUUCCUUCCCAGAGGACAGCUUGUGUGGGGCCACCUGGACCCAGGUUGCACAUAAGGGCCACAGCAGCACCUUGCUGCACCUGAGCCAGUGGCCAGCUUUGCACUUCUGCCCUCAAAUACAGAUUUCAGUGGGCUGUUGACAUGUAUAUUAUGUGGCAUGUUAACCAUGGGAAAUACAUGUGAGAGUAAGUGAAGUAACAUCCUUCAAAGCCUCAGUAAACACCAAUGGUACAAAGGAGCCUCAUAGGGUCUUUCCUGCUUACCUGAUAUCUUAAGAGCUGAGGCACUUGCUACAUGAUGAGUUUAGUUCAGGUGCAGGAUAGGUAUCCUCUAAACCAGCUUCCCCCUUGCUAGGCAAGUUCUACUGAGCAGGAUCUCAAAAUUUAUUUUGAGUGAUUUUUAUGUAAACAUAAGUGCAAAGACUUUAAGAAAGAACCUCAUCCAAGAAAUGAGCCUCUCUCUACAAUACCAGCCAGUCUUCAAGGACUGUUAGACUUUACCAAAAAUCACCAAGAAAUGUAUUUUAUGUGAUAGAAGAUAAUUAAUUCCAGGAACAUUUAUUUAUCAAAAUUCUUAAAAUUAUGAUUGUUUUUACAAUUACAUAUAAUUGAUUUUCUUUCUAGAAAAGCCAGACUUGCAAUGAUUUUGCAAGUUUCAAGCACAUCUGGAAAAGUUAUAUGCACACUAGAAAACUAUACAUGUGUAUCUAGUUCUAUUAGAAGAGACCAUUGUCACUAGCAAAGGGCCAGAUGCCACACACAUCUAGCACGCUCUCAGGCCUCCCUCCCCAAGCCUUGCAGCGGGUGUUUCUAGUACUCUGAGCACCCCGAUACCAGACCAUGAAGAGAGAGGCUGCCAUCUUCACUGCCCUCAGGCACACGUGACCCACAGACACUCUACCACAUUUGAAAACAGGAGUUACACAAACCAUC
ensembl:lncRNA